CGUGAGUAACUUGGCUCCGGGGGCUCUGCUCGCCUGCCCAUACGCUGCCAGCCACCCAGGACCGCGCUGCUGGCCUCCGCCGCGAGCAAACCCUUCCGACGACCUUCACUGCGCAGGCAGGGACGCCUCUCCCCUCUCCGACCCCGCCGCGGAAAGUUAAGUUUGAAGAGGGGGGAAGAGGUGAACAUGGGCAUGAAGAGGAGGAUCCACCUGGAGCUGAGGAAUCAGACCCCGGCAGCUGUUGAGAACUUGUCUUGGGCAAUUGCAAAUCAAAUGAUGGAAAAAUUGAAGGCUUAACAGCUGAAUUUGUGAACUUACAGUUCCUCAGUUUAAUAAAUGUAGGCUUGAUCUCAGUUUCAAAUCUCCCCAAGCUGCCUAAAUUGAGAAAGCUUGAACUCAGUGAAAAUAGAAUCUUUGGAGGUCUGGACAUGUUAGCUGAAAAACUUCCAAAUCUCACACAUCUAAACUUAAGUGGAAAUAAACUGAAAGAUAUCAGCACCUUGGAACCUUUGAAAAAGUUAGAAUGUCUGAAAAGCCUGGACCUCUUUAACUGUGAGGUUACUAAUCUGAGUGACUACCGAGAGAGUAUCUUCAAGCUCCUGCCCCAGCUUACCUACUUGGAUGGCUAUGACCAAGAGGACCAGGAAGCACCUGACUCAGAUGCCGAGGUGGAUGGUGUGGAUGAAGAGGAGGAUGAAGAACGAGAAGAUGAGGAAGAUGAGGAGGAUGAGAAUGGUGAAGAAGAGGAGUUUGAUGAAGAAGAUGAUGAAGAUGAAGAUGUAGAAGGGGAUGAGGAUGACGAUGAGGUCAGUGAGGAGGAAGAAGAAUUUGGACUUGAUGAAGAAGAUGCAAGAUGAGGAUGAAGAUGAAGAGGAGGAAGAAGGUGGGAAAGGUGAAAAGAGGAAGAGAGAAACAGAUGAUGAAGGAGAAGAUGAUUAAGACCCCAGAUGACCUGCAGAAACAGAACUGUUGAGUGUUGGUUAGACUGCUCAUGGAUUUGGUAGCUGUUU